UUGGUUAUGCUGAAAAGAGCGCAGGGUGGAUGCCUUGGCACUAAGAGCCGAUGAAAGACGUGAUAAGCUGCGAAAAGCUUCGGGGAGGAGCAAAUAUCCAUUGAUCCGGAGAUUUCUGAAUGGG
rnacentral:rRNA from 1 species